rnacentral:rRNA from 1 species
GUGUCAGCCGCCGCGGUAAUACGAAGGGGGCUAGCGUUGCUCGGAAUCACUGGGCGUAAAGCGCGCGUAGGCGGAUCGUUAAGUCGGGGGUGAAAUCCUGGAGCUCAACUCCAGAACUGCCUUUGAUACUGGCGAUCUUGAGUCCGGGAGAGGUGAGUGGAACUCCGAGUGUAGAGGUGAAAUUCGUAGAUAUUCGGAAGAACACCAGUGGCGAAGGCGGCUCACUGGCCCGGUACUGACGCUGAGGUGCGAAAGCGUGGGGAGCAAACAGGAUUAGAUACCCUCGUAGUCC